rnacentral:rRNA from 1 species
AUUGAACGCUGGCGGCAGGCCUAACACAUGCAAGUCGAGCGGAGCGGCGGACGGGUGAGUAAUGCCUAGGAAUCUGCCUGGUAGUGGGGGAUAACGUCCGGAAACGGGCGCUAAUACCGCAUACUAUCAGAUGAGCCUAGGUCGGACUAGCUAGUUGGGGGGGUAAAGGCCUACCAAGGCGACGAGCCGUAACUGGUCGGAGCGGAUGAUCAGCCACACUGGAACUGUGACACGGUCCAGACUCCUACGGGAGGCAGCAGUGGGGAAUAUGGGACAAGGGGCGAAAGCCGGAUCCAGACAUGCCGCGUGUGUGAAGAAGGUCUUCGGAUUGUAAAGCACUUUAAGUUGGGAGGCGUUACCAGCAGAAUAAGCACCGGCUAACUUCGUGCCAGCAGCCGCGGUAAUUC